rnacentral:tRNA from 1 species
GGGCAAUUAGCUCAGUUUGGUUUAGAGCAUCUGUUUUACAAGCAGGGGGGUCACUGGUUCAAAUCCAGUAUUGCCCA